UGCAGUCGAACGAUGAACCACUUCGGUGGGGAUUAGUGGCGAACGGGUGAGUAACACGUGGGCAAUCUGCCCUUCACUCUGGGACAAGCCCUGGAAACGGGGUCUAAUACCGGAUAUCACUCCCGCAGGCAUCUGCGGGUGUCGAAAGCUCCGGCGGUGAAGGAUGAGCCCGCGGCCUAUCAGCUUGUUGGUGAGGUAAUGGCUCACCAAGGCGACGACGGGUAGCCGGCCUGAGAGGGCGACCGGCCACACUGGGACUGAGACACGGCCCAGACUCCUACGGGAGGCAGCAGUGGGGAAUAUUGCACAAUGGGCGAAAGCCUGAUGCAGCGACGCCGCGUGAGGGAUGACGGCCUUCGGGUUGUAAACCUCUUUCAGCAGGGAAGAAGCGAAAGUGACGGUACCUGCAGAAGAAGCGCCGGCUAACUACGUGCCAGCAGCCGCGGUAAUACGUAGGGCGCAAGCGUUGUCCGGAAUUAUUGGGCGUAAAGAGCUCGUAGGCGGCUUGUCACGUCGGGUGUGAAAGCCCGGGGCUUAACCCCGGGUCUGCAUUCGAUACGGGCUAGCUAGAGUGUGGUAGGGGAGAUCGGAAUUCCUGGUGUAGCGGUGAAAUGCGCAGAUAUCAGGAGGAACACCGGUGGCGAAGGCGGAUCUCUGGGCCAUUACUGACGCUGAGGAGCGAAAGCGUGGGAGCGAACA
rnacentral:rRNA from 1 species